rnacentral:lncRNA from 1 species
GUUUGAAGGACGGAGUUGUAUGCUUGUACCUUUUGGGGGAGGGGAGGGGAACUGGUGACCUGGAGUGAGAAGUUAACAGAAAAAGUGCGCAGGAGAGUGUGGAUAAUAUAGGAAUAGGACUACUUUGUUAGAGCUGCUGCGGAGCUUGUUUGACAUAAGUCUUACAUCAGAAAGGGUUGCUGGAAUAACAGAUGUGCCAGAUCUUAAAACCAGAAGUUUUGUCUUUCACCUUCAUCAUGUUUAGUAAGGAUAUGAGACUUGGUGGUUUUGAGACUCCUCCUGAAUCCCACGAAGAUAUUUUAGCUGCUGCUGUUUGUGAUCAGGUAUGUUCAGAUAUAGCUUAAGGGACUAUCGUAACGCACCAACACUAGGAGUUGAAAGGCCUGCCUAAAAGAAAGGAAAAUGUACCAGCUGGAAGAGCUGGUUCAGAAGACAUUUCUCAAUAACAGCACUUGUUGGAGAUAAGUGUCCAACAUCUUUCAUUCACUACCCCCCUGCAUGAAAUAAACUCCAUUCUGUAGUUCA